rnacentral:tRNA from 1 species
ACUUUCUUAGUACAGACGUACAGGCGAUUUCCACUCACCAACCCCUAGCAAUAACUCUAGGAGAAAGUA